rnacentral:rRNA from 1 species
UGGGGAAUCUUGCGCAAUGGGCGAAAGCCUGACGCAGCGACGCCGCGUGAGCGAUGAAGGCCUUCGGGUUGUAAAGCUCUGUGGAUAGAGACGAAGAAGUGUAAGUUAACACCUUGCACGGUGACGGUAUCUAUUUAGCAAGCACCGGCUAACUCUGUGCCAGCAGCCGCGGUAAGACAGAGGGUGCAAACGUUGUUCGGAAUUACUGGGCGUAAAGCGCGUGUAGGCGGCUUAGCAAGUCGGAUGUGAAAUCCCGUGGCUCAACCAUGGAAGUGCACCCGAAACUGCUUCGCUAGAGUAUCGGAGAGGAAAGUGGAAUGCUUGGUGUAGAGGUGAAAUUCGUAGAUAUCAAGCGGAACACCGGUGGCGAAGGCGGCUUUCUGGACGAUUACUGACGCUG